UUUCUUUGGGUACUACUGUUUGUGUAACUGCUAGCAUUGCCCGGUUUAGAUAAUUUAAUGCCCCUAAUGAUUUUAGUGGGUCAGUCUUGUUAUGUCAUAUAUAUUUAUUUUGUGCGAUUUUUUCUGUGAGAAGCUUCAGAAUGCUAGCAAGUCGCUGCUCAUGGCAUAAGUUAUCACAUUGGACUAUGUCUCCUUCAGCAUGCCAAGCAGGAUUCUGCAGUCAGUAUAUUGGAAACAACUGCACUCAUUAAAACAAGGAUCCUAAACUCAAGUUGAUUAGCCUCUCUACUUGCCACUCGUUUAUAGAUAUGGAUUGAAUGCCAGAUGUGCAACUGAAGGCCAGACGCAGACUCUUACAAGGGAAAAUUCAACCAUUACAGUUGCACCAGGGAAGGUAAAAUCUCCUGAUCUAGACGAUGGUGGGGCUGGAUUUAUCCCUCGUGAUGAUGGCGGCGGCAUGGGUGGGUGUGGAG